GACGAACGCUGGCGGCGUGCUUAACACAUGCAAGUCGAACGCAGUGGCGAACGGGUGAGUAACGCGUAAUCAACCUGCCCUUCAGAGGGGGACAACAGUUGGAAACGACUGCUAAUCCCGCAUGCUGAAGGAGGUGCUUGCGUCUGAUUCGCUAGUUGGGGGGGUACCGGCCCACCAAGGCGAUGAUCAGUAGCCGGUCUGAGAGGAUGGACGGGCACAUUGGGACGGGGACGCGGCCCAGACUACUUCGGGAGGCAGCAGUGGGGAAUCUUCCGCAAUGGACGAAAGUCUUACGGAGCAACGCCGCGAGAGUGAUGACGGCCUUCGGGUUGGAAAGCUCUGUUAAUCGGGACGCGGUACCGGAAUAGAAAGCCACGGCUAACUACGUGCCAGCAGCCGCGGUAAUAC
rnacentral:rRNA from 1 species